CCUACGGGCGGCAGCAGUGAGGAAUAUUGGUCAAUGGACGAGAGUCUGAACCAGCCACGUAGCGUGAAGGAUGACUGCCCUAUGGGUUGUAAACUUCUUUUAUAAAGGAGUAAAAAGAGGCACGCGUGCCGUUUUGCAUGUACUUUAUGAAUAAGGACCGGCUAAUUCCGUGCCAGCAGCCGCGGUAAUACGGAAGUUGCGGGCGUUAUCCGGAUUUAUUGGGGUUAAAGGGAGCGUAGGCCGGCUUUUAAGUCAGCUGUGAAAGUCCGCGGCUCAACCGUGGAAAUGCAGUUGAAACUGGAUGCCUUGAGUGCGCGCAGGGAUGCCGGAAUUCAUGGUGUAGCGGUGAAAUGCUUAGAUAUCAUGAAGAACUCCGAUCGCGAAGGCAGGUGUCCGGAGUGCAACUGACGCUGAGGCUCGAAAGUGCGGGUAGCAAACAGGAUUAGAUACCCGUGUAGUC
rnacentral:rRNA from 1 species